UUUUUUAUGGAGAGUUUGAUCCUGGCUCAGGACGAACGCUGGCGGCGUGCUUAACACAUGCAAGUCGAACGGAAAGGCCUAGCUUGCUAGGUACUCGAGUGGCGAACGGGUGAGUAACACGUGGGUGAUCUGCCUCGUACUUCGGGAUAAGCCUGGGAAACUGGGUCUAAUACUGGAUAGGACCAUGCUUUAGUGUGUGUGGUGGAAAGUUUUUUCGGUACGAGAUGAGCCCGCGGCCUAUCAGCUUGUUGGUGGGGUAAUGGCCUACCAAGGCGUCGACGGGUAGCCGGCCUGAGAGGGUGGACGGCCACAUUGGGACUGAGAUACGGCCCAGACUCCUACGGGAGGCAGCAGUGGGGAAUAUUGCACAAUGGGCGCAAGCCUGAUGCAGCGACGCCGCGUGGGGGAUGACGGCCUUCGGGUUGUAAACCUCUUUCGCUAGGGACGAAGCUUUUUGUGACGGUACCUAGAUAAGAAGCACCGGCUAACUACGUGCCAGCAGCCGCGGUAAUACGUAGGGUGCGAGCGUUGUCCGGAAUUACUGGGCGUAAAGAGCUCGUAGGUGGUUUGUCGCGUCGUCUGUGAAAUUCCGGGGCUUAACUUCGGGCGUGCAGGCGAUACGGGCAUAACUUGAGUGCUGUAGGGGAGACUGGAAUUCCUGGUGUAGCGGUGGAAUGCGCAGAUAUCAGGAGGAACACCGAUGGCGAAGGCAGGUCUCUGGGCAGUAACUGACGCUGAGGAGCGAAAGCAUGGGGAGCGAACAGGAUUAGAUACCCUGGUAGUCCAUGCCGUAAACGGUGGGCGCUAGGUGUGAGGGUCUUCCACGACUUUCGUGCCGUAGCUAACGCAUUAAGCGCCCCGCCUGGGGAGUACGGCCGCAAGGCUAAAACUCAAAGGAAUUGACGGGGGCCCGCACAAGCGGCGGAGCAUGUGGAUUAAUUCGAUGCAACGCGAAGAACCUUACCUGGGCUUGACAUAUGCAGGAUCGGCGUAGAGAUACGUUUUCCCUUGUGGUCUGUAUACAGGUGGUGCAUGGUUGUCGUCAGCUCGUGUCGUGAGAUGUUGGGUUAAGUCCCGCAACGAGCGCAACCCUUGUCUUAUGUUGCCAGCACGUGAUGGUGGGGACUCAUGAGAGACUGCCGGGGUUAACUCGGAGGAAGGUGGGGAUGACGUCAAAUCAUCAUGCCCCUUAUGUCCAGGGCUUCACACAUGCUACAAUGGUCGGUACAACGCGCUGCGAGCCUGUGAGGGUGAGCGAAUCGCUGAAAGCCGGCCUCAGUUCGGAUUGGGGUCUGCAACUCGACCCCAUGAAGUCGGAGUCGCUAGUAAUCGCAGAUCAGCAACGCUGCGGUGAAUACGUUCCCGGGCCUUGUACACACCGCCCGUCACGUCAUGAAAGUUGGUAACACCCGAAGCCAGUGGCCUAACCCUUGUGGGGGGAGCUGUCGAAGGUGGGAUCGGCGAUUGGGACGAAGUCGUAACAAGGUAGCCGUACCGGAAGGUGCGGCUGGAUCACCUCCUUUCUAAGGAG
rnacentral:rRNA from 1 species